UACGAAGGGGGCUAGCGUUGCUCGGAAUCACUGGGCGUAAAGGGUGCGUAGGCGGGUCUUUAAGUCAGGGGUGAAAUCCUGGAGCUCAACUCCAGAACUGCCUUUGAUACUGAAGAUCUUGAGUUCGGGAGAGGUGAGUGGAACUGCGAGUGUAGAGGUGAAAAUUCGUAGAUAUUCGCAAGAACACCAGUGGCGAAGGCGCUCACUGGCCCGAUACUGGACGCUGAUGCACGAAAAGCGUGGGGGAGCAAAACAGG
rnacentral:rRNA from 1 species